rnacentral:rRNA from 1 species
GACGAACGCUGGCGGCGUGCUUAACACAUGCAAGUCGAGCGGUAAGGCCUCUUCGGGGGUACACGAGCGGCGAACGGGUGAGUAACACGUGGGUGACCUGCCCUCAGCUCUGGGAUAAGCCUGGGAAACUGGGUCUAAUACCGGAUAUGACUGCGCAUCGCAUGGUGUGUGGUGGAAAGUCCUGGACUUUGUUGUCUGGGUUCGGCUGGGGAUGGGCCCGCGGCCUAUCAGCUUGUUGGUGGGGUGAUGGCCUACCAAGGCGACGACGGGUAGCCGGCCUGAGAGGGCGUCCGGCCACACUGGGACUGAGACACGGCCCAGACUCCUACGGGAGGCAGCAGUGGGGAAUAUUGCGCAAUGGGCGGAAGCCUGACGCAGCGACGCCGCGUGGGGGAUGACGGCCUUCGGGUUGUAAACCUCUUUCGCCAUCGACGAAGUCUCAUGGGUGAUUCUGU